rnacentral:rRNA from 1 species
AGUGAACGCUGGCGGUAGGCCUAACACAUGCAAGUCGAACGGCAGCACAGUAAGAGCUUGCUCUUACGGGUGGCGAGUGGCGGACGGGUGAGGAAUACAUCGGAAUCUACUUUUUCGUGGGGGAUAACGUAGGGAAACUUACGCUAAUGCCGCAUACGACCUACGGGUGAAAGCAGGGGACCUUCGGACCUUGCGCGAUUGAAUGAGCCGAUGUCGGAUUAGCUAGUUGGCGGGGUAAAGGCCCACCAAGGCGACGAUCCGUAGCUGGUCUGAGAGGAUGAUCAGCCACACUGGAACUGAGACACGGUCCAGACUCCUACGGGAGGCAGCAGUGGGGAAUAUUGGACAAUGGGCGCAAGCCUGAUCCAGCCAUACCGCGUGGGUGAAGAAGGCCUUCGGGUUGUAAAGCCCUUUUGUUGGGAAAGAAAAGCAGCAGGUUAAUACCCCGCUGUUCUGACGGUACCCAAAGAAUAAGCACCGGCUAACUUCGUG